rnacentral:rRNA from 1 species
GAUGAACGCUGGCGGCGUGCCUAAUACAUGCAAGUCGAGCGAACAGACGAGGAGCUUGCUCCUCUGACGUUAGCGGCGGACGGGUGAGUAACACGUGGAUAACCUACCUAUAAGACUGGGAUAACUUCGGGAAACCGGAGCUAAUACCGGAUAAUAUAUUGAACCGCAUGGUUCAAUAGUGAAAGACGGUUUUGUUGUCACUUACAGAUGGAUCGGCGCCGAAUUAGCUAGUUGGUAAGGUAACGGGUUACCAAGGCAACGAUGCGUAGCCGACGUGAUCGGGUGAUAGGCCACACUGCAACUGAGACACGGUCCAGACUCCAACGGUAGGCAGCAGUGGGGAAUCUACCACAAUGGGCGAAAGCCAGACGGACCAACGCCGCGAGAGUGAUGAAGGUCUUCGGAUCGUAAAACUCUGUUAUUAGGGAAGAACAAAAGUGUAAGUAACUAUGCACGUCUUGACGGUACCUAAUCAGAAAGCCACGGCUAACUACGUG